rnacentral:rRNA from 1 species
UACGAGGGGGGCGAGCGUUGUUCGGAAUUAUUGGGCGUAAAGGGUGCGUAGGCGGUUUGGUAAGUCUUGUGUGAAAUCUCCAGGCUCAACUUGGAGUCUGCACGAGAAACUGCCGGGCUUGAGUGUGGGAGAGGUGAGUGGAACUGCGAGUGUAGAGGUGAAAUUCGUAGAUAUUCGCAAGAACACCAGUGGCGAAGGCGGCUCACUGGCCCAUAACUGACGCUGAGGCACGAAAGCGUGGGGAGCAAACAGG